rnacentral:rRNA from 1 species
CCUACGGGGGGCAGCAGUAGGGAAUCUUCCACAAUGGACGAAAGUCUGAUGGAGCAACGCCGCGUGAGUGAAGACGGGUUUCGGCUCGUAAAGCUCUGUUGAUAGUGAAGAAAGAUGGAGGUAGUAACUGGCCUUUAUUUGACGGUAAUUACUUAGAAAGUCACGGCUAACUACGUGCCAGCCGCCGCGGUAAUGAGUAGGUGGCAAGCGUUGUCCGGAUUUAUUGGGCGUAAAGGGAGUGCAGGCGGUUCAAUAAGUCUGAUGUGAAAGCCUUCGGCUCAACCGGAGAAUUGCAUCAGAAACUGGUGAACUUGAGUGCAGAAGAGGAGAGUGGAACUCGAGGUGUAGCGGUGGAAUGCGUAGAUAUAUGGAAGAACACCAGUGGCGAAGGCGACUCUCUGGUCUGCAACUGACGCUGAGGCUCGAAAGUAUGGGUAGCGAACAGGAUUAGAUACCCGGGUAGUC